AACGAACGCUGGCGGCAGGCCUAACACAUGCAAGUCGAGCGAGGGCUUCGGUUCUAGCGGCUGUCGCGUGAGUCACGCGUCGGACUGUUCCCUACUCCACGGAAUAGCACUGGGACACUGGGAGUAAUACCGUAUACGCUCUUUUAGGACAAGAUUCAUCCUACAAGGAUCAGCCCGCGUUGGAUUAGGUAGUUGGUGGGGUAAUGGCCUACCAAGCGGACGCUCCAUAGCUGGGUAGAGAGGAUGGUCAGCCACACUGGGACUGAGAUACGGCCCAGACUCCUACGGGAGGCAGCAGUGGGGAAUCUUAGACAAUGGGGGCAACGCUGAUCGAGCCAUGCUGCGUGAGUGAUGAAGGCCUUAGGGUUGUAAAGCUCUUUCAGCUGGGAAGAUAAUGACGGUACCAGCAGAAGAAGCCCCGGCUAACUCCGUG
rnacentral:rRNA from 1 species